rnacentral:rRNA from 1 species
ACCUACGGGGCGCAGCAGUGGGGAAUUUUGGACAAUGGGGGCAACCCUGAUCCAGCCAUUCCGCGUGAGUGAAGAAGGCCUUCGGGUUGUAAAGCUCUUUCGGCAGGAACGAAACGGUCUCACCUAAUACGUGGGGCUAAUGACGGUACCUGAAGAAGAAGCACCGGCUAACUACGUGCCAGCAGCCGCGGUAAUACGUAGGGUGCGAGCGUUAAUCGGAAUUACUGGGCGUAAAGCGUGCGCAGGCGGUUAUAUAAGACAGAUGUGAAAUCCCCGGGCUUAACCUGGGAACUGCGUUUGUGACUGUAUAACUCGAGUGUGGCAGAGGGGGGUGGAAUUCCACGUGUAGCAGUGAAAUGCGUAGAGAUGUGGAGGAACACCGAUGGCGAAGGCAGCCCCCUGGGUCAACACUGACGCUCAUGCACGGAAGCGUGGGGAGCAAACAGGAUUAGAUACCCUAGUAGUCC